AUCCAGUUCACGAGUCCCAAAUAGAACGAAAUGCGCAUCUUGGAU
rfam:Trichobilharzia regenti genome assembly, scaffold: TRE_scaffold0000038